rnacentral:lncRNA from 1 species
AUGAAAGAUCGUCAAGGUCACACUGAAGAAGACCAUGUGGGAUGGGAGAGAGACAUAGUGGUCACAUUUGAGAAAGGCCAUCUGACAGAUGGGAGAAGCUGAAAGGGCUGCAGACAGCAGAAGCCUCCCCUGCACCUGCAAAUAGACCAGUGCAGGCAUUGAACAUCUGGGGCAAGACUAGCGUCUCCCAGCAGAACGUAUGACCUGAAACUGGUCCCGAGGAAACAUCAGAUGGACCACGUUGAGCAUCACACUGCAGAAUGUAGGGCUGCAUUCUUCCAAACUGUUGGGACGAUGAAAGUCAGGGAAAGACUGAGGAAAUGCUCCAAACUGGGGCAGACUGCAAAGAUGUGACAAUUAAAUGCAAUGUGUAACUCGGG